GUAUUAGUCUGUGGAGUCAGACAUACUGAGUGACUUUCACUUCAGUUCAGUUAAGUUCAGUCACUCAGUCGUGUCCGACUCUUUGCUACCCC
ensembl:miRNA bta-mir-10161 bta-mir-10161